rnacentral:lncRNA from 1 species
UGUAUUAAAUGUUUUAUAAAAGUAUUUGAAAAAAGCAUUAAACUACUUAAUAAAUAAUAAUAAACGAAAUUUAAAUUAAAAAAAAGUUUUGGUUUUACUAAUACAAUUUACUAAAAAACUGAAGUUCAGUAAAACCUUCUUAGCUGAAGGGGUAUGGAUUUUAAAAGGUUGCAAAAUACUGCUUUACAAAAAAUGAUCAUUGUGACACAGACUGCUAGCUGUUCCUAAUAUUUAACCUCCCUUUUGUCCACUGUACUAAAACUAUGGAUUUUUAGCUUGACACAUGGCCAUUUGAAAUAAAGAACUAAAUUUCCACUUACACACAAGCAGCUAUGUGUGGUCACGUCAGUAAUGGAAUAUAAAUGCAAAGGUCAUAUGUGAAUUUCAAAAAAAAAAAAAGUUUUUAAAAUAAAGCAGUAAUCUCUCUUCUCUUUCCUCCUUCCUGCUAGCUGAAAUCCACAUGGAUAUGAGGGUGGCAACUUCACAUGAGUUAGAAACCACAUGUUGAGAUAGGCACAGCAACAAGAUACAGGGUCCCUGAUAGGGGAUAUUUGAGCAUCUGUCACACAAAUCCUGCCCUAGUUGCUUCAACUUUGUCUAUAUUAUAGAGAAAUAAAUUUCUAUCUUGUUUAAAUUAUUGUAUUACGCUUGAUUUUUCUGUCACUUGCAGCUAAAUUUAAUCCAAACUAAGCUAAAAACUUCCUAAAUGCCUACUUGUAAUAUCUUACUAAAUUGUUAAAAGA